GCGUUCAAACCCAUGUCCCCUGCAUUGGCAGGCAUAUUCUCAACCACUGUGCCACCAGGGAAGCCCAUUUUUAUUCUUUAUAAAUUAUAUUACUUAUUCCCAUAUCAUUAAGAUCUAUUUCUGAGGGUUUUGUCUCGUUCUUUCAUUUUGAACAUAUUUUUCUGUUUCCUCACUUUGCUUUGAUCUCUAUGUUUAUUUCCAUGUAUUAGGCAAUAUUGCUACCUCUCUCAUUCUUGAAGGAGUGACCUUGUGUAGAUGAUGAUCCUUCUCAUUCAACCUCGUCCUAGCUCUUGGUUGUCUCACAAAUCUUUGCAGUUGUCUAUACCACCUGAUUUAUUCUUGAUAUGCCCCUGAUGUUGAGGAUGUACUGAGACCUCUCAGUGUUCCAAGGGGAGGAAUCUCAUUUAACCCCAGUGUCAGUCUGAUUGGAAGCCAGACCCUCAGGCAGUACUUUUAAAGUACACAGAUAUAUACAUUCCAGUGGAGCCAUAAUUGUAUUCUCUGCUGGCUUCCAGAUGAGGAGACCUGGAGGUGUCCUCUGGGUAACAGCUACAAACAUUGGGGCUCCUGACUAGUAUAUAAGUUGCACUCUGGGGAGCCUUGUUGAGCAUUAGUGAGGCCAAGAGGGUGGGCAAGGAUGGUGUCUCCCUGCUUAUGUACCCUGGGAGCACCUCCUUAACCUCUAGAUGUGUGGGAAACCUGAAGCCUCUACUUCAGGGUGAAGUUCCAGGCUAAGUAAAUAGGCCUUUUUCACAGGAAGACUGAGAUUGUGUUUCAGUCUGCUGUCUGUGCAGUACCCUGGUGUUGGUGGCCUGCUGAGAACUGUCUUUCUGAUUGUUACAGUCCCAUGGAGCUCUGGAAUGCCAGCCCUCUUGGUCAACAGGGCCAGGCAAUCAAGUGCUGUCCCUUUUGUGAAUUGUACAUGCCCAACAACUUUGGCUAGGAAGCUGGAGAGUGUAUGGUGCAGGGCUUGUUCCCUUUUUUCAUAAAGGCAGUGGAAAAAUGACUGCAUACAGUUGCAGGCUUCAGCAACACAGCAGUAGAGUGCCUUGUCUGAGUGCAUGUCAGCUUUAGGCCAGGUGUAGGAGAAUGCUGCAACUGCUCAUAUUUGCAAGACCCAGCCUGGUGGCAGGGAAGUGUUGAGCUGGCUUUAGGCUGGGAGAGGAAUAAUACUGCAACUUGUCAUACUCGCCUUCCCCAGCCAGGGAACGGUGUGUGUGUGUGUGUGUGUGUGUGUGUGUGUGUGUGUGCUGCAACAACAGACAUUCCCUAGUUUCAGCAAGGUGGUGGGAUAGUGCUGUGACUGCUCGCCCCCACAUCUCAAGUCAAUUCUCACAUUCUUUUCAGGUGGAAUGAUCCUUAUAUAGCUGUAUAUUUAUUGUAUCCUUGGGAGGAGGUCAAUUUGGAGAGAGCUGAAAAAUUUCCUGCACCUCCACAAGUCUUUUAAUCCAUGAACAUGGAGUCAAGAUGGUGAAAUAGGAGGACAUGGAAUUCGCCUCUCCUCACAAGUACCUCAAGAAUACAUCUACAAAUGGAACAGUUCUCACAGACCACCUGCUGAAUACUAGUGGAAGACCUUGGACACCUAAAAGGACAAGAAAACCCCCCAGCAACUGGGUAAGAUGAAAGAAAGAGAAAAAAGAAAAGAGGAAACAGGAAGGGACCAGCACCGCUGACAGGGAGAUGAAGGUGAGGAGAGCUUCCUGCACUCAGAGAAGCCCCCUCAUGGUGGAGAAAUCAGCUGGGACAGAGAGAGACCUUUGGGGGAUUGCGAGAUCAGAGGAUAACACAGCAACAGGUCUGUGGAAAGCAGGACAGAGUAAGAUCUAUGCACAUGGUCCUUGCUGCAGCCCUGUGCACCCCACCUUGAGUUGUGUGUCUCUUGGUGUGGAGGGGGGCUGGGUACUGGAAAGUGGGGUUCAGAGAGUGGACCCAGGGAGGGGACAGCUGUUGGCUGUGAAGAGACAGCCUGAAGGAAUGGGAGUAAGGAGAUCCACAACCAGGAAUGUUUGUGGAAGAAGCCCAGGCCACCAUAGAAACAAGGCACCACUGUUGAGUGGUGCACAAGGGGCGGGGCCACCAUUGCAAUGCUGUUCCCUACCCUCCAGCCCCUGACUCUGCAUGCAGUGGAGGGGCACCCGUCUGAGAAGGUUGGCCUGCACCUCAAGCCUAGGCCUCCUCUGCCCACGCAGGGUCCGGGGUCCUGAGCGCUGCCCCAACCAAAGCCUCCAGGGAACCAGCCCUGGGUGCCCCAACCUGAGACGGGAAUCUGCCAGUGCUGGCGGGGGCUGAGUGCUAAAGUGUGGGGUUAGGAGAGUGGACCUGGGGAGAAGGCUCCUGUUGGCUGCAUGGAGAUGGCCUGAAGGGAUGGGAAUGAGGAGCUCAGGUGCGCGGAGACAACCUGAGGGGACAGGAGUGAGGGGUUCUGUGGUUGGGAAUCCUCCUGGAGGAAGCGUGGUCUGCCUUGGAAACGAGGUGCCAUUGUUGAGUGGUGCGCAAGGGGCUGGGCUGUCAUCGUGGACUCUCUCCCCACACGCCAGCCCCUGCUUCUGCGGGAACUGCCCACCAGAGUGCCUCAGACUGUUGCAACUUCCUGCUGGUCUCUGCAGCUGCAUGCACUAGAGGGGGAUCCCAUCAGAGUGAGUGUGAGUGCCCCAGUUGUGACCACCUGAUCCAUCCCUGCCCUGAGCAAGCAAGUGUGCCCCAGUCAGCUGUUCCUUUUACCCCGUCUCACCUGGAACAGAUGCCUGAGGGUGGCCCACACGUAGAAGUGGGACCAAAACCAAAGCUGAGCCCCAGGGGCUGUACAGCUGCACAAGGGAGAGGAACAGAAAUCUCUCUGUAUAGCUGCACAAGCUGUGGGUUAAAUCCCCAUGAUCAGCUUGGUAAACCCUGCAUCUGUGGAAUAUCUGAAUAGACAAUGAGUGCUCCCACAACUGAGACCAGUCUAGCUUUAGCAGCCAUGGACUUUGGGGGCAAGUACAUGCAGGAGUUGGGGCAGGUUCUGA